CGAAAGCCUGACGGAGCAAUACCGCGUGAGGGAGGAAGGCUCUUGGGUCGUAAACCUCUUUUCUCAGGGAAGAAGAAAGUGACGGUACCUGAGGAAUAAGCAUCGGCUAACUCCGUGCCAGCAGCCGCGGUAAUACGGAGGAUGCAAGCGUUAUCCGGAAUGAUUGGGCGUAAAGGGUCCGCAGGUGGCUAUGUAAGUCUGCUGUUAAAGAGUUUGGCUCAACCAGAUAAGAGCAGUGGAAACUACAUAGCUAGAGUGCGUUCGGGGCAGAGGGAAUUCCUGGUGUAGCGGUGAAAUGCGUAGAUAUCAGGAAGAACACCGGUGGCGAAAGCGCUCUGCUAGGCCGCAACUGACACUGAGGGACGAAAGCUAGGGGAGCGAAUGGGAUUAGAUACCCCAGUAGUCCUAGCCGUAAACGAUGGAUACUAGGCGUGGCUUGUAUCGACCCGAGCCGUGCCGUAGCUAACGCGUUAAGUAUCCCGCCUGGGGAGUACGCAGGCAACUGUGAAACUCAAAGGAAUUGACGGGGGCCCGCACAAGCGGUGGAGUAUGUGGUUUAAUUCGAUGCAACGCGAAGAACCUUACCAAGACUUGACAUGUCGUGAAUCUCUUUGAAAGGAGAGAGUGCCUUCGGGAGCGCGAACACAGGUGGUGCAUGGCUGUCGUCAGCUCGUGUCGUGAGAUGUUGGGUUAAGUCCCGCAACGAGCGCAACCCUCGUUUUUAGUUGCCAGCAUUAAGUUGGGCACUCUAGAGAGACUGCCGGUGACAAACCGGAGGAAGGUGAGGAUGACGUCAAGUCAGCAUGCCCCUUACGUCUUGGGCUACACACGUACUACAAUGCUACGGACAAAGGGCAGCUACACAGCGAUGUGAUGCUAAUCUCAUAAACCGUAGCUCAGUUCAGAUCGCAGGCUGCAACUCGCCUGCGUGAAGGAGGAAUCGCUAGUAAUUGCAGGUCAGCAUACUGCAGUGAAUUCGUUCCCGGGCCUUGUACACACCGCCCGUCACACCAUGGAAGUUGGUCACGCCCGAAGUCAUUACCCCAACCUUUUGGAGGGGGAUG
rnacentral:rRNA from 1 species